UAACUAUUAUGGAAUAUUAAUACACAUUAAUUAAGGAAUUAAUGUUCACGAAAUCACUAAUUUAGAACACAAUGCUUGCACUAUACAUAUUAGUAUCUAUGCUUCUUGGAGAAACACUAUUAUUUUCUGUGAAAGAUAUUUUACCUGUGCUGGAAUACAUUGGUUGCCGUAAUUGCGACAGAGUCUAUGUGCCCCUGUGUGGGACCGACAACAAGACCUAUGUGAAUGCUUGUAAGCUUAAUUGCCUUAAUUCGAAGCGUAAAAAAAGCGAGUGGGUUUACGUACAAAGGUAUGGUCCUUGUGUUAAUGUCGGCUUUAUCUUUUAAAUUAAUAAGGAGAGUUGAAUAAUAUUUUAUCCGAAAAUCAUAAUAAACUUUUAAUAAAAA